GAUGAACGCUAGCUACAGGCUUAACACAUGCAAGUCGAGGGGAAACGGCAUUAAGUGCUUGCACUUUUUGGACGUCGACCGGCGCACGGGUGAGUAACGCGUAUCCAACCUUCCCAUGACUAAGGGAUAACCUGCCGAAAGGCAGACUAAUACCUUAUGGUCUUCACUGACGGCAUCAGAUGUGAAGUAAAGAUUUAUCGGUUAUGGAUGGGGAUGCGUCUGAUUAGCUUGUUGGCGGGGUAACGGCCCACCAAGGCAACGAUCAGUAGGGGUUCUGAGAGGAAGGUCCCCCACAUUGGAACUGAGACACGGUCCAAACUCCUGCGGGAGGCAGCAGUGAGGAAUAUUGGUCAAUGGGCGAGAGCCUGAACCAGCCAAGUAGCGUGCAGGAUGACGGCCCUAUGGGUUGUAAACUGCUUUUGUAUGGGGAUAAAGUCAGUCACGUGUGAUUGUUUGCAGGUACCAUACGAAUAAGGACCGGCUAAUUCCGUGCCAGCAGCCGCGGUAAUACGGAAGGUCCGGGCGUUAUCCGGAUUUAUUGGGUUUAAAGGGAGCGUAGGCUGGAGAUUAAGUGUGUUGUGAAAUGUAGACGCUCAACGUCUGACUUGCAGCGCAUACUGGUUUCCUUGAGUACGCACAACGUUGGCGGAAUUCGUCGUGUUGCGGUGAAAUGCUUAGAUAUGACGAAGAACUCCGAUUGCGAAGGCAGCUGACGGGAGCGCAACUGACGCUGAAGCUCGAAGGUGCGGGUAUCGAACAGG
rnacentral:rRNA from 1 species